rnacentral:rRNA from 1 species
GAGUUUGAUCCUGGCUCAGGAUGAACGCUAGCGGCAGGCUUAAUACAUGCAAGUCGAGGGGCAGCAGCUUUAUAGCAAUAUAGAGGCUGGCGACCGGCAAACGGGUGCGGAACACGUACACAACCUUCCUUGAAUAGGGGGAUAGCCCAUAGAAAUGUGGAUUAAUACCCCGUAAUAUAGCGGUGUGGCAUCACACUGUUAUUAUAGUUUYGGCGAUUCGAGAUGGGUGUGCGGCUGAUUAGGUAGUUGGCGGGGUAAAGGCCCACCAAGCCUUCGAUCAGUAGCUGAUGUGAGAGCAUGAUCAGCCACACGGGCACUGAGACACGGGCCCGACUCCUACGGGAGGCAGCAGUAAGGAACAUUGGUCAAUGGACGCAAGUCUGAACCAGCCAUGCCGCGUGAAGGAUGAAGGUCCUCUGGAUUGUAAACUUCUUUUAUAGGGGGCGAAAAAAGGUCUUCUAGAUCACUGACAGUACCGU